UCCCGUCAAUUGGGCAGCGGGGCUGUUUAUCUGGAGAAGAGAGGAUGCCGAUUGGCUCGAAGUGACGCGUGCGGCAUCACGGGCCGAGCCUACGCUUACGGACGGGAACGAAAAGGGCGGGUUCUCGGGAGAGCGGGCUGCUAUUGGCUGCGCAGUCUGAGGACGCCCUGCCCCUUCCGCUCAGGGCCGGAUGUGAGCGCGGCGGUCACCCGGCAACGGCGGUGGGGUGGAAGUGUCGGCCGGCACCAGAGCAUCGGCACGGCCCGCACCGGAACGCCGACAGUCGGGGCUGGCUGUCGGAAAGGCUCUGCAGGAGGAUGCGAGGCCCGCUGUGGUGCUGCCGUGUCGCCUUGUCGGGCUGCCGCCCGCGCGGUCACUGUGCGGCUCCUCAGGCGGAACGCGGGCCGCGUCUGCGGCCGGGUGACCGCCCGUACGGCCGUGUGAUGGGCGGGCGUCGGUGUGCGGGGCCGGGCACCGCUGGGCUGGAAGCUGAGCAGUGCCCUAAACGGGAAACUGGUUUACUCCUGAGAGACACAGUGAGAGUCAGGGUUGGGUCAAAGAGGCUCCGUCCUUCAGUGUCUCCACCACUUCAGCACUGCGCUUUGCAUCCUGCUCUCUGAUUCAGCAGUUCUCCCAGGCGGUUUCAGGACAGUUGCUUCAGUUCGUUGAUUUGCUUCCCAGCAUCCACCUGCUGUUAGCGAACGGGGCUCUCGUAUGUCAAUUCUUAAUCCUGCUGUCUCCAUCUAGUGUCCAAAUCGCACCUCUGCUCCUCUCAGCCCCUUGGAAGAACUGCAGACCUAACAGCCUGUAUCGCUGCCCCAGUAUCCACUGAAGCUUA